rnacentral:lncRNA from 1 species
AAAAAGGCCAAUGGAGCACCAAAUGGUUUCUAUGGGGAGAUUGACUGGGACAGAUAUGCCUCUCCUGACGUGGACGAGGAGGGCUUCAGCCUCCGGCCCGGUGACGAGGGCGAUGUAGCUUCCAAAGGAAAGCACUUUUUCUCCUCCAGCGACUCUGAGGAAGACGAGGAAAGCAAGAAGAAGUUCAAAAUUAAGAUCAAGCCGCUGGUGGCGGACAGUGCCAAGUGUGUCCCUUCGUCUAUGGACGAGCUGAAAGCCUCGGUGGGAGGCCUGGCACUCUCUCCAUCUCUGGUGAGCAGUCUCAGAGACGCAGCCCGGGGCAGAUAAAGAGGAAUUUGUCCUGUGAAGAGAUUGCCAGACCCAGACGCUCCACCCCCACACCCAGUCCUGCCCCUGAGACACCAAGGUCUGUCAUUCUUUUAGCAAUACUGACCACUGACAGAAAUAAAAACCUCUUAUUCAAUCUGUAUGUGUUUGGUACUCCUAAAAGUAGAAAUAGUGUUUGUGUGUCUUGUCUUGCAGUGACAGGCUAUCGCAGAACGUUCCUGCCUUUUUUGGGCUGCCUUCAGAGACCAAAUAUGCCAGAUAUGACGGUCUGUCCCCUAUGUCCAUAUUACAUCACAUGAAUUGAUACUGAGCACGUCAUGUAUCAGGUGGCGUAUACAAAGGUGACAUUUGU